rnacentral:rRNA from 1 species
GACGAACGCUGGCGGCGUGCUUAACACAUGCAAGUCGAACGGUGAAGCGCCUUCCUUUUUGGUGGGUGUGGAUGAGUGGCGAACGGGUGCGUAACACGUGAGUAACCUGCGCCCUUCUUCUGGAUAACCGCAUGAAAGUGUGGCCAUUACGGGUUAUUCUGGGUCUGUCGCAUGUUGGGUCUGGGCACGAUCUUGUUUCGGUGGGGGAUGGGCUCGCGGCCUAUCAGCUUGUUGGUGGGGUGAUGGCCUACCAUGGCGGUGAUGGGUAGCCGGUCUGAGAGGAUCAACGAUCACACAGCGACUAAGACACGGCCCAGACUCCUACAGGAAGCAGCAGUGAGGAAUAUUGCACGAUGGGCGCAAGGCUGAUGCAGCGACGCCGCGUGAGAGAUGGAGGCCUUCGGGUUGUGAACCUCUUGCGCCAGUGAAGCAGGCCUGCCUCGUUUGUGGGUGGGUUGACGGUAGCUGGAUAAGAAGCACCGGCUAACUACGUG